rnacentral:rRNA from 1 species
UUACCAUCAUUAAGUUGGGGACUCUAGCGAGACUGCCAGUGAUAAACUGGAGGAAGGUGGGGAUGACGUCAAAUCAUCAUGCCCCUUAUGACCUGGGCUACAAACGUGAUACAAUGGCUGGAACAAAGGGAUGCGAAGCAGUGAUGUGGAGCGAAACCCAUAAAAACAGUCUCAGUUCGGAUUGAAGUCUGCAACUCGACUUCAUGAAGUCGGAAUCGCUAGUAAUCGCGGAUCAGAACGCCGCGGUGAAUACGUUCUCGGGGUUU